UUAAGCGACUAAGCGUACACGGUGGAUGCCCUGGCAGUCAGAGGCGAUGAAGGACGUGCUAAUCUGCGAUAAGCGUCGGUAAGGUGAUAUGAACCGUUAUAACCGGCGAUUUCCGAAUGGGGAAACCCAGUGUGUUUCGACACACUAUCAUUAACUGAAUCCAUAGGUUAAUGAGGCGAACCGGGGGAACUGAAACAUCUAAGUACCCCGAGGAAAAGAAAUCAACCGAGAUUCCCCCAGUAGCGGCGAGCGAACGGGGAGCAGCCCAGAGCCUGAAUCAGUGUGUGUGUUAGUGGAAACGUCUGGAAAGGCGCGCGAUACAGGGUGACAGCCCCGUACACAAAAAUGCACAUGCUGUGAGCUCGAUGAGUAGGGCGGGACACGUGGUAUCCUGUCUGAAUAUGGGGGGACCAUCCUCCAAGGCUAAAUACUCCUGACUGACCGAUAGUGAACCAGUACCGUGAGGGAAAGGCGAAAAGAACCCCGGCGAGGGGAGUGAAAAAGAACCUGAAACCGUGUACGUACAAGCAGUGGGAGCACAGAGCAAUCUGUGUGACUGCGUACCUUUUGUAUAAUGGGUCAGCGACUUAUAUUCUGUAGCAAGGUUAACCGAAUAGGGGAGCCGAAGGGAAACCGAGUCUUAACUGGGCGUUAAGUUGCAGGGUAUAGACCCGAAACCCGGUGAUCUAGCCAUGGGCAGGUUGAAGGUUGGGUAACACUAACUGGAGGACCGAACCGACUAAUGUUGAAAAAUUAGCGGAUGACUUGUGGCUGGGGGUGAAAGGCCAAUCAAACCGGGAGAUAGCUGGUUCUCCCCGAAAGCUAUUUAGGUAGCGCCUCGUGAAUUCAUCUCCGGGGGUAGAGCACUGUUUCGGCAAGGGGGUCAUCCCGACUUACCAACCCGAUGCAAACUGCGAAUACCGGAGAAUGUUAUCACGGGAGACACACGGCGGGUGCUAACGUCCGUCGUGAAGAGGGAAACAACCCAGACCGCCAGCUAAGGUCCCAAAGUCAUGGUUAAGUGGGAAACGAUGUGGGAAGGCCCAGACAGCCAGGAUGUUGGCUUAGAAGCAGCCAUCAUUUAAAGAAAGCGUAAUAGCUCACUGGUCGAGUCGGCCUGCGCGGAAGAUGUAACGGGGCUAAACCAUGCACCGAAGCUGCGGCAGCGACGCUUAUGCGUUGUUGGGUAGGGGAGCGUUCUGUAAGCCUGCGAAGGUGUGCUGUGAGGCAUGCUGGAGGUAUCAGAAGUGCGAAUGCUGACAUAAGUAACGAUAAAGCGGGUGAAAAGCCCGCUCGCCGGAAGACCAAGGGUUCCUGUCCAACGUUAAUCGGGGCAGGGUGAGUCGACCCCUAAGGCGAGGCCGAAAGGCGUAGUCGAUGGGAAACAGGUUAAUAUUCCUGUACUUGGUGUUACUGCGAAGGGGGGACGGAGAAGGCUAUGUUGGCCGGGCGACGGUUGUCCCGGUUUAAGCGUGUAGGCUGGUUUUCCAGGCAAAUCCGGAAAAUCAAGGCUGAGGCGUGAUGACGAGGCACUACGGUGCUGAAGCAACAAAUGCCCUGCUUCCAGGAAAAGCCUCUAAGCAUCAGGUAACAUCAAAUCGUACCCCAAACCGACACAGGUGGUCAGGUAGAGAAUACCAAGGCGCUUGAGAGAACUCGGGUGAAGGAACUAGGCAAAAUGGUGCCGUAACUUCGGGAGAAGGCACGCUGAUAUGUAGGUGAAGUCCCUCGCGGAUGGAGCUGAAAUCAGUCGAAGAUACCAGCUGGCUGCAACUGUUUAUUAAAAACACAGCACUGUGCAAACACGAAAGUGGACGUAUACGGUGUGACGCCUGCCCGGUGCCGGAAGGUUAAUUGAUGGGGUUAGCGGUAACGCGAAGCUCUUGAUCGAAGCCCCGGUAAACGGCGGCCGUAACUAUAACGGUCCUAAGGUAGCGAAAUUCCUUGUCGGGUAAGUUCCGACCUGCACGAAUGGCGUAAUGAUGGCCAGGCUGUCUCCACCCGAGACUCAGUGAAAUUGAACUCGCUGUGAAGAUGCAGUGUACCCGCGGCAAGACGGAAAGACCCCGUGAACCUUUACUAUAGCUUGACACUGAACAUUGAGCCUUGAUGUGUAGGAUAGGUGGGAGGCUU
rnacentral:rRNA from 2 species